rnacentral:rRNA from 1 species
AAAGAUUUUUAUUAAAAAUAAUUAUUUCAUAAACUAAUUUUACUAUUAAAAUAAAAACUGAAAAGGAAAAUAUUAUCUUUUCAAUAGAAUUAUACAAUUCCUUUAGUAUCAGGAUUUAUCUAAAUAUUUAAAUAUAUUUAAAUCUCGAAAUUAUAUGAUCUAUUAAAUCUUACUUAUUCUUUUUUCAAAAAACUAUUAAAAUUAAUAAUAGAAACUAUACAUUUUUCGUAUAUAAUAAUAUCUAGUAUUAAAAAAAGAAAACAAUUUUCAUACAAAUUUUGUAAUAUAAUUUACUUUAUAUAUUUAUUCCUUUUUUAUUUACUUAAAAUAAAGAUUUACAGUAUCUAUAAAGUAUAAAAACUAACAUUACUAUUAAUACAUAAUUACAAUAUUUUAAUAUUAUUUUUCUCUUUAAAAACAAUGAUAAAAUAAAUAAACCAAAAAAAUAAAUUUUAAUAACUCGUCAAAAAUUUAAUGACUGUUUAACAAAAACAUUUCUAUUAGAAAUAAUUAAUAGUAAAAUCUGCUCAAUGAAAAUUUAAAUAGCCGCAUACGUGCUAAGGUAGCAUAAUCAUUUGUCUUUUAAUUAAAGACUAGAAUAAAAGAUUUAACUUUUAAAUUAAUUUUUUAAACUUAAUUAUUUAAAUUAUCUUAAAUGUAAAAAGACAUUUAUAUAUUAGAAAGACGAUAAGACCCUAUCGAACUUUAACUUCAGUUAAACUGGGGCAGUUAAUUAAUUAUUAUUUUAAUUUUAAUAAAAUACAAAUUAGACCUAAUAUAAUUAAUUUCAUAAUCAAGUUACCGUAGGGAUAACAGCGUAAUAAAAUUUUUAAGAUCUUAUUUAAAAUAAAGAUUGCGACCUCGAUGUUGAUUUAAUAACCUAAUUCACGCAAUAGUGAAUCAAGGAAGUCUGUUCGACUUUUAAAAAAUUACAUGAUUUGAGUUCAGACCGGUGUAAACCAGGUCGGUUUCUAUCUUCUAAAAAUAUUUCUUCUAGUACGAAAGGACCUAAGAAAAUAAAUUAAUU